GCUGUGAGCUCGGAUAGAGAAAUGUAUCAACCACCACGAACAGGUUGGCGUAUUGGGGUGGAUUGUUCUGUCCUCUGUAUUUCAGACCAAAGCAAGACAACGUUUAAAGCUCACUAUGGAUCUACUAACAGGGGUCAGUGGUCUAAAAUGAGUCUCUCUGGGGAGAGAGAGG